CAGUCCCUCUCGGGGCACAAGGCAGGGUACACCCUGGGCAGGAAGCCAGUCCCUCUCGGGGCACAAGGCAGGGUACACCCUGGGCAGGAGGCCAGUCUCUCUCGGGGCACAAGGCAGGGUACACCCUGGGCAGGACAGGACAGUCCCUCACAGGGCCCGCCAGCUUGUCUUGGGACUGUGGGAGUAAACGGGAGUGCCAGGAGGAAACCCAUGCGAACACGGCAAUGUUCAGUGCUGUUGGAUUGCUUGUGAUGCUCUUGUGAAAGACAGGGAUGAUUCUUUGUGUUAAAGAGGGGUGCUGCUGGCGGAUUGUAUCGGGCAGGUGACAGGAGACCACUCGGAGAGCACCUGGCCUCGCUGAGACCGGAGGGGUGUGGAAGCCGGGCACGAGCCAGCUGUUUGAAGAUUCUUGGAGGUGCCUCUCUGGAGUGCUGGGCUUGCCUUCCUGUGGCCUCUCUCUAUGGAACUCAGGCGUGGGAAAGGAUCCGAAACGAGGCCGUUACCCUGCACGCCGACUCCUCCGAACGCAGUUCACUUCCAGAGGGCCUGAGUAAUGCUACUACCUGAUAUUUGUGAGGCUCAAAGCACCAGAUUGCCCUUGAUGCGUCAGCCCUGAGGCUUCUGAGCAGGAAGCUCAUUUGCAAGACUUGACUUUCAUGUGUAGAAUGUUGUCCAGCGCACACAAGGCGAGUGACGUGACAGUGGACUGCACUGGAUGCAGACGGAGCACAUCUACAGUAAGCCUUUGAUAAAGCGGAGUUAGAUGUGUGUAUUUGGGUGGAGAAUUUGUUAAUGUAAUAAAAGGGUACAGAUCAGUGGUGAAGGCAGGAUUUGUGGUGAUGUAAUUAGGCCUCAGGGAUCUGUACUGAGGCCACUGCAUCCAGAUUUAUAUCAAUUAUCAAGAGUCUAGGAAUAGUUAGUUUGCAGCUGUUCAGAUGCCAGGCGAUUUUUGUUUUGACCGACCAGAUUGCAUCUCUCGGAAGAGAAUUCUUGAAGCUGGAUUCAGGAACGUCCUUCAGCGAGGGGCUGGAGGAGCCGGACCUCUUGAGCCUGGAGCAGCGCCGUGUCGUGGACAGAGCUUGGGGCACAAACCAGAACGUUCAGUGUGGGCCUGCGUUGUCCAGGCCUACACGUCUGCUCACCAGAAACUGCAGACUCCUAUGGGAGGUGCUUACGAGAUGCGUUUUUUAAGUGAAGUUAUCACUCGUCUGUGAGAAAAUUAGGAGGAAAUGAUGGUUUGACAGCCCAGGCUGCUGAAGUCGGCUGUCACUUACAUAAUUAGACGUCGCUUAGUGCUGAAGCUGUCUGUGGUGAGUAGAAGCCACCUUUUUUCUUCCUGCUUUCUCACGCCUGUGUGCGCGGUGCUCCUCUUGAUAGCAGUGGGGUAGAAAUCCAGCAUUGUUUGGACCAUUUCCUCUUCCACAUUCUUGUAGAUUGGGAUCUGGCUGGACUCGCCGAGAGCAUUGUUCCUGCUUGUUCGGCGGGGUUGUCACCCUGCCUGCUGUUUACAAAAACUCUGCCUUUCGUGCAACUGUGCUGUGGGGCCUGCUGGCCAUCGGUAGUGUCAGACCUCAAACCAGCGGUCUCGGUUGAAUCAGAUGAGGUUUUUAAGUCUCUGCUCAUUUCUGUUAAAUCCAAAGAGUUUCACUUUUCCUUCUCUCAGGAAGCUGUUUUAGUUAUCUUGUAGUUCACAGCGCUCAAAGAUACAUUUUCAGAUAUACACCCUCCACUGUGUGUGUUUCUGUAAAAUAAAUGCGUUUUUUGCCCUCUUAAACUUUCUAAUUUUGUUUACUAGCUUUUGUUUCUAAGCAAGUCAAUAUAAAAUGGUAUAAAUGCACCUCUUUUAAACGUUUUCCUUUCCAUUAGAGCAAACCGUAAUGCUCAGAAAUCUUUUAAAUAGAGAAGCGUGUAGAAGAGAUUUAAUGCGUCUGUGAUUGGCCUUUUAAUUAUUCUCCCUUCUGGUAUCGGUGCCAGUGCCUGCUGUGUUCCGUUUCAGAACAUUUAUUUAAGCACAACAAACGCUGUGAACAUCCUUUGCGUAACUUUAAUUUCACAAAUCCCCACCCGGAUCAUCGUGCAGUAUCCUGCUGGCCAACAAUUCAGAAAGAGGGGAAUCGUGAUUGAAAAUCGAGCGAAAGGCGCGUCAGGAUGUCUCCUGGAGGCCCCGCCAUGUGUCGGACGGCGGAGGGCCGGGCAGGUGUCGGGCUCGGGUCGGCUGCGCUUUCAUCCGCGCGAUGCUUAACGAGGUCGGCUUCGCUCCUCGGAAACCUGGCCCAGCCUAUGGCAGGACUGUGGGGAGGGGAGCGGGGCAUCUGGAAUGAGAGGUUGCUCAGAACGGGCCUGUGCUGCCCUGGGCCCUCCUGCGGAGCUCGAGCUUCGGUCCGGGAGCAGGAGGAGACGGUUUCCGCCGCAGGGCUUCUGGACUGGUCAGGACACUGGGGCGCGCGGCGAUCUGCCGAGCCGGCGGCGAGCAGGGAGCCCGCUGGACCUCUCCUGGGCUGGCGGACCUGGUCAGGGACAAGCAUGCCGCACGUCAGUGGUGUUCCUGCUGCCGGCUGGCACUGUUAUCCACUGUUCUCACAGACUGACAGUCUGUAUGUUUAAAAGCUGAUGGUGAAACAUAACAGUGGGCAUGGAUUGAAAAUACAUUUACACAGCGAUGUUCUUGUACAGACAGAUACAUUAUAAAUACAGAGGCAUUCAAGUAAGAGGCUUUCGACAUCCUUGCGCAGGUUUUCAUCAAGUGCAUGUGGAAGUUAACCAGCAGGGGCAGUGCUCUGCGACCUGCUCCCUCGCUGAGCACUUCUCUCCACUCGUGCAGCGCAGUUUCCUGCCCCUAGAGGGCAGCCUCAGCCCUCUCAGCGCCCUCCGCUGCGGUGUCCCAGGGCCUCCGGCUCGGGGAAGCCAGCACUUCCUGUGCAAACGCAGAUGACCAAAUCGUCCUGAUACGAGGCAUGUUUCCUGCUGUUCGCCCAGACGGGGGCCCUCUCUUAACCCAAAAAUAAAAAUAAGGGACAGUGGCUAAUGUCCAGAUCACGAGAACGCUCCAGCUUUGUGAAGGUGAAACAUGUCCCACGUGAAUCGAGCAGCGUGAGCUCCAGCAGCUGUUGGUCUCUCGCUUCUCUGCCACUGUACC